rnacentral:rRNA from 1 species
AUGGCCAGGUCGCGCCCGACCUCGCCGGCGCGGGCCAACGCCAGCGGAGACCCUCUCCCAUUCGAAGUCGCACCUCCCUAUCCUCUUUCCGCAAUUUCACCCUCCUCUCCCUCCUUCUCCCUCUCAUCUUCACUCUCUCCCCUGCAGAUCGAAUUGAGCGCGCGGCAGAGGAUGAGGCUGGCGGAACGGGGAAGAGGAGGGGCUCAGCGAUAG